AACGAACGCUGGCGGCAGGCUUAACACAUGCAAGUCGAGCGCCCUGCAAGGGGAGCGGCAGACGGGUGAGUAACGCGUGGGAACCUACCUGAAGGUACGGAACAACUCCGGGAAACUGGAGCUAAUACCGUAUGUGCCCGAGAGGGGAAAGAUUCAUCGCCUUCAGAUGGGCCCGCGUCAGAUUAGCUAGUUGGUGAGGUAAUGGCUCACCAAGGCGACGAUCUGUAGCNGGUCUGAGAGGAUGACCAGCCACACUGGGACUGAGACACGGCCCAGACUCCUACGGGAGGCAGCAGGUGGGGAGUAUUGGACAAUGGGCGCAAGCCUGAUCCAGCCAUGCCGCGUGAGUGAUGACGGCCUUAGGGUUGUAAGCUCUUUCGCUCGCGACGAUAAUGACGGUAGCGAGAGAAGAACG
rnacentral:rRNA from 1 species